UUCUGAGGGGAGGAAAAAAGAUGCAAAGUAACCAGUAUUUCUCAAUGAAUUUUCAAAAACAUCUCCCACUGUUGUGACUCAGUCCUUUGUGGUGGUUUUCUGAUGGACCAUGACUUGCUCUUGGAUUCUGCUGACUGGAUGAGGUAAAGAAAGGCAAAGAUAAGCGUCAUUCAUCUGUCACCCUUCUGCCCUUGGGGAGUUCCUUUGCUGAAGCUGUCUGGAGCAUAUGUAAAGGUGAUCUGAUGUCUUCUUCAAACAGAGGCUGAUUUUCAUAGACAGAAAAAGGUAUUUUGAUGUGAAAUAUGUUCAGAUUUUAAUGUAGGAGCGGUACAUUUAUUCUG
rnacentral:lncRNA from 1 species